rnacentral:lncRNA from 1 species
UGGCAUAUGGAGGUUCCCUGGCUAGGGAUCAAAUCAGAGCUACAACUGCCGGCCUACACCAGAGCCACAGCAACACGGGAUCCAAACCAUGUCUGAGACUUGCACCACAGCUCAUGGCAACGCCAGAUCCUUAACCCACUGAGCAAGGCCAGGGAUCAAACCCACAAACUCAUGGUCCCUAGUUGGAUUCAUUUCCACUGCAUCAUGACAGGAACUCCACUUUAUUUUUAUUUUUUUUCAACUGAAAGCAUGAAACAAUGCUCCUAGUAUUUCACUGUCACAUUCUCAGAUCCUAGAGCUUUGUGGCAUUUGAAAGCAACAAUGGCACUAAGAAUAUUCUCUUGUUGACUUAAUGUACCAUGAAAACUGUCUCAACUUCAUUAAGGCCUAAGAAAAAAGGCAUCAUCUCUACACUCCUGUUCAAAACAAACUCACAACAAAUAAAAUGACAGUAAAAAGAGAAAAAAAGUAAUGAUUUACUGAGACAUACUACAUGGAUACAGCUUGAAAACAUCAUACUAAGUGAGAAAAUUCAGACACGAAGAACCACAUAUUGUGUGAUUUCUUUCAUAUAUGAAAUGUACAGAAGAAAUAAAUCCACCCCCAUAAAGGCAAAAGUACAUUCCUUGUCAGGGACUUCUCGGAAAGCAGGUAGGUGUCAGGGGAAUGGUCAGUUCAUAUGAAUGGGCAUAGAGUUUCUUUUACGGUGAUGAAAACUUUUUCAACUGGUUGUACUCAUGGUUGCACAAAUCUAAAAAUAUAUUAAAAACCACUUGAUUGUGCCCCUCAAAUGAGUGAAUUACAGUCUGUGAAUUACAGCUCAUUAAAUGUUUUUUUUUUAAAAAAAAAGUUAAAUGAGAUAAGCACUCUCACAGUUACAAUCAUACACAAAAUGAAAUCUAUCAUCACAGUUACACACACUCACAAUCCCCUCUCCUCACUUUAUUCUCAACUACAAGAUCUUUUGUCCUCUGUUACCUAGAGCUGGUGCUUUGCAAUUAAGGUACAUGAGAAUCACUGCAGAACUUUGUUAAGGAGCAGGUUAUGAUUCCUCAGGUCUGGGGUGGGGCCUGAGAUUCUGCAUUUCCAGCUCCCAGGGGUGGCAACAUUAAAAGGUUGUGUCCUUCUCAUGCCACAGAUGCCGGAUCACAUUUAUAGAUUCACAACAUCCUAAAGCACUAAACACUGCCAAGAGCUGCUGCCCCAAGUCUGGCCACAAGUCACACUCAUGAGUAUCAUAGGAAGUGCUUUUCCUCCCUGCCCCUCUCAUGCAUAGUGCUACAAAGACAAGAGCAGAAGCAACCCCACCACUCAACACUUAGACUUCUUUACAGACGGGUCACAGGAUUGCCUUCUAGGCCAGCUCUGCUGCUGAAGACCUUCCAUCAGACAUCCUCACCUAUAAGGGGACUUCCUCAUAUGUACAACUGGGCCCAGUACCACUGGCUCCUGACUUCCCAGAGUUGUUUCCAAAGUAAAAUAAGAAAAUGCUUGCAAGGACUUCCUGUUGUCACUCAGUGGGUUAAAGACCCAAUGUAGUCUCUGUGAGGAUGCAGGUUUGAUCCCUGGCCACGUUCAGUGGGUUAAGGAUCUCAUGUUGCCACAAGGUGAGGCGUAGGUCACAGAUGCAGCUCGGAUCUGGCAUUAUGGUGGCUGUGGUGUAGGCCAGUAGCUACAGCUCCUAUUCGACCCCUAGCCUGGAAACUUCCAUAUGCCACAGACAAGGGUGGAAAAAGAAAAAAAGAAAAUGCCUGCCAAAAAAGCUUAAAGAACCAUAAAGUAUUAGAUUAUUGUACAAUGGGAAAAAGAGUUAAGCAAGUUCUCAUUCUAGUUCUCCUGGUGGACCCAAAAGACUAGAGAAGUUGUUUAAAUUCUGGGGGUCAGCAAUUCCUAUUGCCUCCUACUGUGAGCACUGAAGAGAGAGGCCGAGCAAGGCAAUGCCCCCUCUCUUAUCUAUCUUCUAAGGGUUUAGCAAGAGCGAAGCCAAUUCCAAGAGAAGGAAGGCUUCACGGAUCAAAGUUAGCCAGACAUAUUCUGAGAGGCAGUAGAAGCUUCAACUCAUGUCUUUGGGAUCCACCAGCCCCUGCGAGAACGUCAGUGUGAGAUCAGGAACUUAAUACGGGAACUUCGCUUACCAGUCAUGCAAUCUCAGGUCUGACAGCCCAUACUCAAUGCAUGUGCAUCUAAAACACGCCACUGCAGUGCCAUGAGAAUUCGAGGUCUCCGAUUAUGCUGUAGGCAGAAGGAACUAAAGCCAAUAUAGUUCUAAAUGAGCUUUCCUUUCUAUUAAAUUGUAUUGCCCUGAGGAUAAGGGAAAAUUUAUUUCACUGUAGAAUAUAUUUCAGUUUUUAUUAUCAAUUUCAACCAAAGCAAAAAUGAAAAAAGAAAUCAAAAUGUAUGAAAGAAACUUCUAAAUGUCUAUUGUGAACCUAUUUUUACCCUAUAAAAAUUAAUCCUGGGAGUUGCUUCCAUAAUCACAAAAAUACUCAACAAAUAAAGAAUUGUGAUGUAUUUCUCUAAGACCAGCUUCAAAAUCAAGUUAGAAGACUCGUAAAAAGUGAGCCAUCCACUUAUUACGAGACAUUCUUAAAAGUCAGAUGGAGUUACCUAACCCCAUAUAUUUCCUUAUAGCAAAACAAUUGUUAAAUUUUAUGAAAUAAAAGACUGAUAAAGCAUAUCUUCCUCUUUGCAAGGUUAUAGUUAUAAUACAAUAACUAUACCAUAAAUACCAAAAACUAAUUAAAGAAGUUAUUCACAUCUUUCACAAAAUGAAAUUUGUCAUAAUGAGUAAGUAUAGUCCUAGAGAAAAGGGGGAAAAAAGUUAAGUGCCAGUUCAAAAAGAGAUCCUUCACUGAAAAGCAAUGAGAACCUUAUUUAACACCCUGGCAUUAUCAACAAUAUUCCUCAUCUAGACAGUAGUGUGUGAAUUGUAUUACCUUUAAUGGAAGGAGCCGACAUACUAAAGUGAAAGAUUGGUAAAUAUGAAUUAGUCAUUUUAAAAAUGUUCCUGAAACCUAAGAAAAGACCUCAUCUUAAGGGGGCAUUGACCUAUUUUUAUUAUUUUCCUAUGAGUCAGCAAACUAGCUUAUAAGUAAAGACAAUGUAAGCUUUUAUUUAAAACAAAAACAAAAACUUUUGGAAAAGUCACUAGAGUUCCUAGAAUAGUUUUGCUUAAAAAAACUGUAUGAAAUUUGUGCUUUCACCCCAACGGGGGGUGGGGGGAGAUCUAGACACCAUUCAGCCAUCACAAUGCUUACACCCUAUUUCUAAAAAUAUGUUUUCAUAGUUUACGGGUCUCCCCAAAAUUCUCAGCUUCCAGUGCAGAGUGCACUCACCCCAUUAAAGUCGCUGUAGUUAUUUCAAUGGUGUCUAACAGUGAAAUCAAUUCAACAGUCAAACAUCUGCUUUUCUGUGUCUCUCACCCUAAAUCAUAAAUUCCCUGAGAACAGCAACAGGCCUUUCACUCCCAUCUUAGUCCCUUAAUGCCUUAGCCAGGCCUGCCAGCCAGAACAGACUGCAAACAGAAUCAGAGCCCUCUGCUCACACACAGCACCAAUUAGAAAGCUCAUCUGUUAUCACUUCCAUAAAUCAAGUAAUCAGUGAAAAAGAUGAAAAGAAACUACCAUUUGCUGUAUGCCAGACUCCUGAGUGUAUUUUGGUAUUUAAACCUUUCCAUACCCCAAAUUACUGUUUGUUAAGUGCUGAAUUAUGUUGAUUACUAACACUUGAUGGACUAAAGUCCCCUGAGGGCAAGAUCAUGCCUUCAUUAGCUCUGCAUCCCUCACAGUCCCAACAGCAUCAUGCAGAAGUUGGCAGACUCAGAUCAGUUCACUAUAAUGGAUAAGGACGGUGAAAGAACAGGCCACCUUUAUGUGUCAAUGGAUCACCUUGAUCUCCAUCCACCAAAACAUAGCUAAUUUACUUUUUAAAAAAGUUAUUCUUGAAAUUAUUAUGAAUGACAAGCAAUGCAGCCAUCUGCAUGCACUUUGAAGUGUCUUACAUUCACUUGGACUAAACAGGAUUGCUUCAAUUGUAUUUCCACCGUUAUGUUACUGAAAAUAAUUCAUGUUUUGCCCCACCUAAUUUCAACCUCAAAUCCAGCUGACAACUCUUUCACUUUGAGGCUUGCAUAAUUUUAUUUUCUGUCUCAAAAUGUCUAUGUAAGAAGAGACAGUGAAGACUCACAAAAACAUAAGCAACUCUCAAACAUCAGGGCUCUGUUUCUAACAAUGCUUUCCCAGGGACUAUCAAAACAGCUGAAAAUAUCACUGUGCUUCAUCCAUCAACAAACUGUCACCUCACUGGAUGAAUUAUGAGUCAAAAUAAAAAUACUUGCUACUUCCAACCUGGGUGGAUGAAAACUGCGGGAGAAAGAACCGACAGUGUUCACCAAUAUUGCUUUUAACAGGUUUCUCUAAUAAGGUCUGACCAUAGAAAAGGCUGCUUCCAAAUCCAAAAAAAUAUUUCAUUUCUUAACAUCACAUUUCCUCAGUUGUUUACAUAAAAGUGCAAGUCAGCCCUCCAAACACAUGAAUGCUCUUUUAAUUUCAACAGAUAAGCUAGAGGGGGAAAAAAAAUCUUGAAUUUCCUCAGGGUAAAAAAAAAAGCAUUUCACAUCGUCAAUACAUCCAGCACUGAGCAGAGAUAUUUGGGAGUAAAAAAAAGUAUUCAAUAAAUAAUGAAAUGAGAUGAGCUCCAUUUAAUCCAAGAAUGUGAAUGAUCAGUUUCUGAUGGUACCACAUUUCACACAAUUAUUUUCAUGAACAAUAAAUGCUGGGGAUGAUGUGGAGAAAAGGGAACUCUCCUACACUGUAGGUGGAGACCUAAAUUGAUACAACCUAUGGAGAACAGUACAGAAGUUCUUUUAAGAACUAAAUAUAGGACCACCGUAUGAUCCAGAAAUCCCACUCCUGGGCAUAUAUCUGGAGAAAAGCAUAAUUCAAAAAGAUACAUGCACCUCUAUGUUCGCUGCAGCACUAUUUACAACCGCCAAGACAUGGAAGCAACCUAAAUGUCCAGAGGAAUAGAUAAAGAAGAUAUGGUACAUAUAUACAAUGGAAUACUACUCAGUCAUAAAAAAGAACAAAACAAUGCCAUUUGCAGCAACAUGGAUGGGCCUAGAGAUUAUCAUACUACGUGAAGUCAGACAAAGACAAAUACCAUAUGAUAUUACUUACAUGUGGAAUUUAAAAAAUGAUACAAAUGAGCUUAUUUACAAAACAGAAACAGACUCACAGACAUUGAAGGGGAAGAGGGGGAGGGAGGGACUGGGCUUUUGGGAAUGGAAAAGACACAUUUCUGCAUAUGGAAUGGAUGAUCUACAAUGACCUGCUAUAUAACACAGGGAAAUCUACUCAUUGUUCUGUGAUAACCUAUAUGGGAAUGGAUAUGGAUAUGUGUCUAUGUAUGGCUGAAUCCACUUUGCUGUACAGCAGAAAUUAACACAACAUUGUAAAUCAACUAUACCUCAAUAAAAUUAAAUUUUACAAUUACAGUUGCACAUCCCAUAAUAUGAUGUGGACAUAUAUAGGCUAUGAAUAGUAAAUCUGUAAAAAAUACUUUGGAAAAAGUCUUCUAUGAUUUCUCCCAUUUAAUAGUUCUGCUAAAUGUGUUGUCAUUUUAAAAACCCAUAGUAAAGCCAUACUCUCCCUGGCACAAACCCUCUUCCUCUAGAUCUAUAAGAGGAAAAAGAAAGGGCAUCCCUUGGUAAAUGUGCUCCUCUGAAGCUCUGUGUGUUUGUGGGGGGCUUCCAUCUUUCACAUGAACUCAUGGGAAAUCACAGCGAGGCCCCCCUUUCAGUGGCUGAUGCUCUAUCUCUAAAUUGCUUUUCCAGGGCCAGAGAAGAAGCUGAAGCUAAUCGAGAUACAUCUUGAAUUCCAUAGUUUUACCCAUCCAUUGUGGUAGCUUUCGCAUUGCGGGGCAGAGAACACAACACUAAAUUCCUCUUUUACUCACCUAAAGGAGAAAAAGAAAAAUGUCAAGCAAAAAAUGUUAGGCAGUUCAGACUUAGGGAAAAUACCAGCUUUUCACUU